rnacentral:rRNA from 1 species
UACGUAGGGUGCGAGCGUUGUCCGGAAUUAUUGGGCGUAAAGGGCUCGUAGGCGGUUUGUCGCGUCGGGAGUGAAAACUCAGGGCUUAACCCUGAGCCUGCUUCCGAUACGGGCAGACUAGAGGUAUGCAGGGGAGAACGGAAUUCCUGGUGUAGCGGUGAAAUGCGCAGAUAUCAGGAGGAACACCGGUGGCGAAGGCGGUGGCCUGGACCGGUGCUGACGCUGAGGCGCGAAGGCGUGGGGAGCGAUCCGG